CACAAUGGGCGCAAGCCUGAUGCAGCCAUGCCGCGUGUGUGAAGAAGGCCCUAGGGUUGUAAAGCACUUUCAGCGAGGAGGAAAGGUUAUAGUUUAAUAGACUAUAGCUGUGACGUUACUCGCAGAAGAAGCACCGGCUAACUUCGUGCCAGCAGCCGCGGUAAUACGAGGGGUGCAAGCGUUAAUCGGAAUUACUGGGCGUAAAGCGUACGCAGGCGGUUUGUUAAGCGAGAUGUGAAAGCCCCGGGCUCAACCUGGGAACUGCAUUUCGAACUGGCAGACUAGAGUAUGAUAGAGGGUGGUAGAAUUUCAGGUGUAGCGGUGAAAUGCGUAGAGAUCUGAAGGAAUACCGAUGGCGAAGGCAGCCACCUGGGUCAAUACUGACGCUCAUGUACGAAGCGUGGGGAGCAACGGAUUAGAUACCCGGUAGUCCACGCCGUAAACGCUCUAGACUGAGAUUCGUGACUUUCAAGAUAACUUUUAUAGACGCUAAAGCGCCAAGUAGACCGCCAUGAGAGUAUGAGGCAACUUUAAAACUCACGAUAA
rnacentral:rRNA from 1 species